GAUGAAGAACGUAGCGAAAUGCGAUACGUAAUGUGAAUUGCAGAAUUCAGUGAAUCAUCGAGUCUUUGAACGCACAUUGCGCCCCCUGGUAUUCCGGGGGGCAUGCCUGUCCGAGCGUCAUUGCUGCCCUCAAGCACGGCUUGUGUGUUGGGCCUCCGUCCUCCUCCCGGGGGACGGGCCCGAAAGGCAGCGGCGGCACCGCGUCCGGUCCUCGAGCGUAUGGGGCUUCGUCACCCGCUCUUGUAGGCCCGGCCGGCGCUUGCCGAUCAACCAAACUUUUUUCCAGGUUGACCUCGGAUCAGGUAGGGAUACCCGCUGAACUUAAGCAUAUCAAUAAGCGGAGGA
rnacentral:misc_RNA from 1 species